CAAGUACUCCCUUCGUCCGAAAAUACUUGUCAUCAAAAUGGAUAAAAAAGAUGUAUCUAGAACUAAUAUACAUUUAGAUACAUCCCCUUUUAUUCAUUUUGAUGACAAGUAUUUCCGAACGGAGGGAGUACUAC
rnacentral:pre_miRNA from 1 species